AAGGUAGUGAUGGAACUGGUAGACAUGGAUAGUUUAGGCCUAUUUGAUUAAAAAAAUCUUAUCCGUUCAAGUCGGAUUUACCUUA